rnacentral:rRNA from 1 species
UACGAAGGGUGCAAGCGUUAAUCGGAAUUACUGGGCGUAAAGCGCGCGUAGGUGGUUCAGUAAGUUGGAUGUGAAAUCCCCGGGCUCAACCUGGGAACUGCAUCCAAAACUGCUGAGCUAGAGUACGGUAGAGGGUGGUGGAAUUUCCUGUGUAGCGGUGAAAUGCGUAGAUAUAGGAAGGAACACCAGUGGCGAAGGCGACCACCUGGACUGAUACUGACACUGAGGUGCGAAAGCGUGGGGAGCAAACAGG